UACGGAGGGGGCUAGCGUUGUUCGGAAUUACUGGGCGUAAAGCGCACGUAGGCGGCUUUGCAAGUUAGAGGUGAAAGCCCGGGGCUCAACCCCGGAAUUGCCUUUAAAACUGCAUCGCUAGAAUUGUGGAGAGGUAAGUGGAAUUCCGAGUGUAGAGGUGAAAUUCGUAGAUAUUCGGAAGAACACCCGUGGCGAAGGCGGUUCUCUGGGACGGUACUGACGCUGAGACGCGAAAGCGUGGGGAGCGAACAGG
rnacentral:rRNA from 1 species